UACGUAGGGUGCAAGCGUUAAUCGGAAUUACUGGGCGUAAAGCGUGCGCAGGCGGUGAUGUAAGACAGUUGUGAAAUCCCCGGGCUCAACCUGGGAACUGCAUCUGUGACUGCAUCGCUGGAGUGCGGCAGAGGGGGAUGGAAUUCCGGCGUGUAGCAGUGAAAUGCGUAGAUAUGCGGAGGAACACCGAUGGCGAAGGCAAUCCCCUGGGCCUGCACUGACGCUCCAUGCACGAAAGCGUGGGGAGCAAACAGG
rnacentral:rRNA from 1 species